GGAGUAUUGAUUUCGCGAGGAGCCGCGUAAUUACGCAUCGUGGGCACCGAAAAGGCAAGGUAAUCCGAGGGGAGGCGGAAGGACAGCCCUUAGAACAAUUCCCUGAAGCGAUAUCGAAGCGGCAACCGGAGACUGACUCGAUCGAAGGUAACAUGAUUUAUGAAAGGAGUAAAAAUUAUGUCACGGAGAAUCACGGAACAGGAAUCGUACUAACCUAAUAUGCU